UGUUAACUUCGGCCUUAAAAAAAAGAUUGCAGACUUAUUGAAGAGCUGGUUUGAGAAAGGAGUACCAAUCCCUCUUCCUGAAGGUGUGGGCUUCACUCAGGGAAAGAUCAGCUACUAUAAUGGCUUCAUGGUGGUCGGAGGAAACCUGAACUUCGCUCUAGCUGGGAAGAGGGAGAUCUUGAGCAGGUUCAGCGGAUAAAUGAACAGAGUUCCACAUGUGAACGCCCAGCUGGACGAGAAUCUCUCGGCUCUUCUGAAAAGUUUUUUAUGAUGCAGACGUCGUUGUUAUUCAGUCAGACCAAGGCUAAGAUGAUUAAAGUCAACGAACCCCAUUAAAGACAGAAACAGCAGCUCAGUGGUGAUCCUGGGUUUUUCUUCCUCGCUCCACAUUCAGCUGACAGUUUUAGAUUUCAGUCUCUUGAAGUUGUGACAAACGUACCAGUACCACGAUGUGAAACUACUGACCGUUCUACCACAGCUUUUUACAUUCUGAUGGCUCGUU